GCCACCGUCCUGCGCUUGCGCGGCGGCCGGCCCGGCCCAGCCGUGCCCGUCGGGCAGUGGGGAACCGGCAAAGCUCCCACAGUGGCUUCGGCUCCGUUCCGCUCUGCUCCGGGGUCAUCUUCCUGCCUGCCUGCAACGACUGAUGCCCUGUGCUUUUCAGUACCACCGUAAAAUGUGGCUGCUCCAUGAGAAUAAAGAGCUCCGGCAAGGGAAAAAACUGAGGGAAUGCCAGAGGUUGGUUUUGUAAAGAAUAUUCUGAACAUUUACUUACUGCACAGCCAUCGUGAAGCGCUUUGAUGUAUGGAUUGUUGUCGUAAGACAUCUCUUCAUCAUUUGAUCCUAAGAACCUUAGUGCUUUGUCAUAGCUGUCAGAAGAUGCAUCAUGCCAAGCUACGGACUGAUGACAAUUAAUACCUUCAGAUUAGUGACUUUAAAUGGAAUCCAAGGUGAUAGCUUAUAAAGAGAGAGAAUUCUAUUUAAGGGAGACACUGUUGUCAUCUAAGAUUCAGCCAGGUGGAAGGGAGCAGUGAGCAAUCUGCUGCGUGGUGCAUAGCUGCUUAUGGGGGUUAAACCACAACAGAUUGGCAUGAUUGAGGAUUCCAGCCCUACAAUGCUAGGUGAAUUCAAUGAACCAAAUAUCUCUUCCAUACCAUCGGAAUAAUCCAGAAUAUUAUCACCAGCAUCAGACACCAUAUAAUCAGGAGAUCUUCUAGUCUUUUUGGGUGACUGGAUUGGCAGCGGCUGGAUUACUUCACCUGGAGGACCCUGAAUGGAAAACAUAUCUGUUUACCUUUUCUGUUGGUUUUCCAGAUGCAUAAAUACACAGAGGAAGACGAAAGAACAUGACAUGAAGAUGCUUUGAAUAGAGCUUCUACAAUUUGUUUAUUUUACUUAUUUCAUUCAGAUUUAUGCCAAAACAGAUUGUGGCAGGCCAAGACAUUGUUUUGCUCUAAACUCUUCCCACUCCAUUGCUGUUUGGGGAAGAGUAUGCUGCCCUCACGUAAGUGUGCAGAACUCAUUUGUGAUUGCCUUUUCAUCCCCAGCAAUUACCUGAAGCGGAGGCAUAGCCUAUAGCAAACAAAAACUGUGGGUGUUCCCUAUGAUAAAACUUUAAAAUUCCACUUGGGGUCUAUAAAGCAGUACUUCAUUUCAGAAAAUUGAAACAAUUCAUUCAGAUUUCGACUGUUUUCAUUUUAGAUUUUUAUGCUAUGGAAAAGAAGUAGUAGAAACAGGAGAGUAUGAACAGCAGGAAACUGAAAUCAUUCUGUUUUCUGUGCUUCCAUAUGACACAUUAAAUCAUCGCAGUUUU